rnacentral:siRNA from 1 species
UGAAACUUAUUUGGGGAUGUGAUG